rnacentral:misc_RNA from 1 species
UCUCCAUCUCCCCCUCCCAUGUCCCUAACUUUUGAUCCAAAUUAGCUAUAGAUGUACCACAAACUUCGCUAAUAGCUUUUUUAGCUUCUCUCCUUGCCAAUUUUUUCAAAGGCCUUUCCGUCUUUUGCUAUUGUUAACUUUCUAUACCGUUCUCUUUUCAUUUUAAUAUCCUUUUGAAUUCCCUCACUCACAACCAAGACUCUUG